rnacentral:lncRNA from 1 species
CCUAUGUCCAAGAAAAUUAAGGAAUGCAGACACAAGGGUCGGGGUGGAGUCAAAGUUUAAUAAGCAAAAAAGAAAGCUUUCUGCAGCAGAGAGGGGAGUCCAAGUGGAUUGCCGGGUUACAGCUGAAUUUAAAAGCGUUUUAUAAGAAACUGCUCUCUUCCCUGUAACUGUUGGAAUAACUUUUCUUACCAGUAAAGCUGUCUGUGCAAUUCUUCUUCUCUUAUGCAGCUGUGGGUAUGUCUCUAGGCAAGCACAAAGCCCCACUUCUCUUGUUUGUAUAACUGUGGGUUUGUUUUAGGGGUGGGGCCGCUUUAUAGGGUUUGGGAAGAUAAUGGAAAAUUACAGUCAAAGGGGGUUGUUCUCUGGUGGGCAGGGGCGGGGGUCACAAGGUGCUCAGUGGGGGAGCUUCUGAGCCAGGAGAAGGAAAUUCACAGGGUUAAUCACUCAGUUAAGGUGGGGCAGGAACAAAUCACAAUGGUGGAAUAUCAUCAGUUAAGGCGUGGCAGGGCCUUUUCACUUCUUUUGUGAUUCUUCAGUUACUUCAGGCCAUCUGGGCGUAUACAUGCAAGUCACAGGGGAUGCGAUGGCUUGGCUUGGGCUCAGAGACCUGACAUUCCUGCCUUCUGAUAUUAAUAAGAAAAAUAAAACAAAAUAGUGUUGAAGUGUUGGGGUGGCAAAAAUUUUUGGGGGGUGGUAUGGAGAGAGAAUGGGCGAUGUUUCUCAGGGCUGCUUCAAGCGGGAUUAGGGGCAGCGUGGGAACCUAGAGUGGGAGAGAUUAAGCUGAAGGGAGGUCUUGUGGUAAGGGGUGAUAUUGUGGGGAUGUUAGAAGAGACAUUUCUUGUAUAGAAUGAUUGGUGAUGGCCUGGAUACGGUUUUGGAUGAAUUGAGAAACUAAAUGGAAGAUACAAGGUCCGAAUAAAAGAAGGAGAAAAAUGGGUAUUAAAGGACUAAGAAUUGGGAGGCCCUAGGACAUCCAAUUAGAGAGUGCCUAAGGGGUUCAGCAUAAUUACUUGCUUGGUUGGCAAGUUUUUGGGCUCUAUCCUUGAGUUUUUUUAUGUUGUCAUACACCAGGCCAGAUUGAUUUAGGUAAAAACAACACUCUUCAUUUAAGAAUAUGCAGAGUCCUCCUUUUUCAGCAGUGAGUAAGUCAAGGCCUCGGCGGUUUUGGAGGACAACUGCAGCUAAAGAGUCAACUUGGAGUACUGAUAAAGUUUGUGACAUGUCUGUGAUGCUAGCAGAGAAGUCAUUAGAGAGGCUACGGAAGGUCGAGACAGAAGUUGAAAUGCCUGCUAUUCCAGUACUGAGAGCAAUAGUGGAGGCAGAAAGUCCUAAACCGACCAUCAAGGGAAUUAGUGGAAUAACUCUUCUUUGUCAUGUCGGUGUCAUGAGGGGAACAGGGAGCUCUUCGGUCCUAUUUGCAAAUUGAAUUUUGGGGGAAAGGAAGACUAGUGUGCAUGUGCCUGUCCAAUUAGCAGGUAGACACAUGUAGGUAGAGGAACCACAGAGGAAGAAGAGACCUUGUGCAAGGCAAAACUGGAGAUGUAAAGUAAAAAGAUGAGAAGGAGUGCUGAAAGGGGUGUCUUGUACCUAGAGUCCUAGGGAUCCAGCUAGGGCGGCAGCUGUCAGAGGUUGUAAUGGGGACUGAUGGGGUAACUGCGUAGAGGGGGAGGUUCAAUUUUCAUGGUGUAUGAGAAAACAUUGAGUAUCUAUGAGCAACCUUUCACUGUUAUUUUCGGGGCUGGAUAUAAGUAAACAAGAAUAGGGCCUGGGAGGAGAGUCUGAUGAGCAAGGGGAAGGUAGCCAAGGAUGGAGUUCAAUACAGGGUAAGUGUCUUCCUAAGCAAUAAUUACUGCUAACAUUUUUAAGUUUAUCAGUAUUGAUAGAGGGCUUGUCUGUAAUAUGGAGCUGGAAGGCUCCAAUUGUUUCAGUGAUGUGUGUAAUUGGGCUUCGGAGAUGAAGAGUAAAGGAACAUCGAGAGGGUGAAAGAUUACCUAGGGGAAUUCCAGUGGGUCUUUGCUGAGAGAUACAUAAAGGAGCGGCCACAGGAAUAGUAGUUUGUGUUGUGAGAGGUCCGAAUAUGGGGGGAGUAGAGUUAAUAUAAGGAGAAAGGUUUUUUAAAUAAGUGCGAAGGAGGGCGGCAGCUUGCUGAUGUGAAAUGUCUGGGGAAGUCUUGCUGGACCUGUCUAGAGAGUAAAUGAGUUCUUCAGGAGGGUAAAGAUGAGGGCUGCUAAAGGAAGUUCAGAGGUGUAGGGAGACGGGAGAUAUUGCCCAGUCUGUCUGUAAGGCGGGGACAGCUGUGUAGGCACUGGAAGAAAGGGAAAUGCAAAGCCAGCAGUUGUUCACUAAGGAGGGACUAGAAGUGGCUAGGAGAGAAUGGGUAAGGUUGAUAGUGUGGUGGAGAUAGCUGGGGAGAGGUAGAGGGUGGCAUAAGAAUGGGAACGAGAAUAAGAGUGAGUAUAAAAGUAAAGAAUAGAACUUCAUCAGGGUGGAAGUAUUGGAGGGUGCCUUGCCAGCAAAGAUCAUCUACCCACUCUAAGAGGGAGUUAAGAGUGGCAGUUUGGGGUUAGCACCAAGAGAUAUCAGCUGUGAUGGCUUGAAGAAACAGUGUAAACCGGCGGUGUAAAGAAGAGUAGGGCAUUUAUAAGUAGUUGAGAAUGGAGAAUAGGAGUAUGACCAGACAGAAGAUAGUAGGGAUGACUAGUUUUUUUGGGCUCGGCCUAAGUGGUUGGGGUGACUUCGUAAAGCCCUGUUGCAAAAAGUAGGGUAAGGACGAACAGACCUAAUAGAAUGAAGGGAUGUAUUAGGCUCAUAAGGGUUAUUACUGCUCUUCAGAAAUAUGAGUGAGUUUAAGGGAAGUAGGGGAGAGUACUUGCGGCUUCCAGGAGGAAGAGGAGGGAUUAGGCUGGCUGUCCGAUGGACACAGCUUUAUUCUGGAAUGGUGAACCUAGUGGGGAGGAUCCUGCAGGCAGACGGCAGUCGGGGUACUAUAGAAGACGAGGUAGCAUCCGGUCCAUCGAGGUUGUAGAGUUUGAGGGGUCAGAUUCUUAACAAGAACUGAUCAUCCAGCUAGGAUGUCUCCAUAUGGCUGGGGAUCUGGAGUAGGCAAGAGAAGAUUAGCAGCCUGGUGAAUUUCCUGUCUAGCCUGCUGGAGGACUGGAAGAUAGUCACCUAGAGGGCUGGUGUCUGGGAUGAGGUUGGGGCCAAGCAAGAAAGUGUGUCCAUAUAAAAGUUCAAAUGGACCGUACCCUGUAGCAUCUCAAGGACAGGCUCUAAUUCUGAGAAGAGCAAGAGGUAAAAGUACUGUCCAAUCCUUUUUAAGUUGGAGGCUGAGCUUGGUGAGGUUUACCUUUAAAAGACCAUUAGUCCAUUCUACCUUUCCUGAAGAUUGAGGAUGGUAAGGGAUAUGAAGGUUCCACUGAAUACCAAGAGCCUGAGAAACUGCUUGGGUGAUUUGACUAGUAAAGGCUGGUCUGUCAUCAGACUGUAUAGAGGUGGGAAGCCUAAACUGAGGAAUUAUGUCUGACAGAGGGGAAGAAAUGACUGUGGUGGCCUUCUCAGACCCUGUAGGAAAGGCCUCUACUUAUCUAGUGAAAGUGUCUACUUAGACUAAGAGGUAUUUUAGUUAUCUGACUUGGGGCAUGUUGAGUGAAGCUAAUUUGCCAGUCCUGGGUGGGGGCAAAACCUUGAGCUUGAUGUGUAGGGAAGGGAGGGGGCCUGAAUAAUCCUUGAGGAGUAGUAGAAUAGCAGAUAGAAUAGCAGAUGGAACACUUGAGAAGUUAUUUCCUUGAGGAUAGAUUUCUACAAUGGAAAGGAAAUGAAAGGUUCAAAGAGGCGGGCUAGUGGCUUGUACUAUAGCAUAGCCUGCCUUUGCUGAUGUGUGGUGAUUAGGCCUGGUGGAACUGCCAUCAAUAAAUCAAGCGUGAUCAGGGUGAGAAACAGGGAAGAAGGAAAUGUGGGGAAAUAGGAUGAACAUCAGGUGGAUCAGAGAGAUGCAAUCAUGAGGGUCAGGUGUGGUAUCAGGAAUACUGUGGGAGGCUGGAUUGAAGUCCAGGCCAGGAACAAUGGUAAUUGUGGGACUUAACAAAGAGUGAGUACAGCUGAAGGAGCUGGGGAACAGAAAGUAUAUGCGUCAGGUAUGAGGAAGAAAAUAGAUUUUGGAAGUUAUGAGAAAUGUAGAGAGUGAGUUGAGCAUUGUUUGUGAUUUUUAGGGCCUCUAAAAUUAUUAAAGCAGCAGCAGCUGCUGCACACAGACAUGAGGGCUAGGCUAAAACAGUAAGGUCAAGUUGUUUCGACAGAAAGGCUACAGGGUGCGGUCCUGGCUCUUGUGUAAGAAUUCUGACGGCACUAACCAUGCCUAGGAAGGAAAGGAGUUGUUGUUUUGUAAGGGAUUGAGGUUUGGGAGAUUAAUUGGACAUGAUCAGCAGGGAGAGCAUGUGUGUUUUUAUGAGAAUUAUGCAGAGAUAGGUAACAGAUGGAGAAGAAAUUUGAGCUUUGGAGGGGGAUACCUGAUAUCCUUUGGAGAAUAAAUGCUGAAGAAGCAGAAGUGUGUCUUGUUGAGAAGAUUCAAAGGAGGGGCUACAAAGAAGAAGGUCAUCAAUAUAUUGAAUAAGGUGAGAAGCAGAGGGGUGGAAAGAAAGUAGAUCAUGAGAAAGAGCUUGGCUGAAGUAAAUGAGGGCUGUCCCUGAAACCUUGCGGCAGCACAGCCCAGAUGUUUGUUAUGAGGAUGGUUGCAGCUCUGUUCCUGGAGGAACAUGGGGAAAUAUCGGAAACUUCCCUGGGCCCAAGCAGAGGAACAGAGGACCCUGAGUGAACAACAGAGAAGAAAUGUGUUUCCUUCCUGUAUCUUCUGUGUAGCGAAGGGCAUCACCACUCAUCAGUUGACAAAGCCAGACAGAAGUGAAAGUACUUGUUGAAUGAGUUCUUGAUUCUUCUUUUACACACCUACUGAAUCACUGAGGUUUUGACAUAAUUUGGUGUCAGAAGUAGAAUUGAAGCUGGUUAGUUGGACAGAUGGACAACCCCUGAAAUUGAGUGAAUUGCCUGUGCUGAGCCCUUUUGAGCUCUCCACCUCCGUGGCUGACCUUUUCUACCCUGCUGAAUCUCCUCUCAGAUUCCUGGACUCCUUUUUGGGCUAAGGAAUUGGGUUACUUUGUGCCCCGCCUCUGCCCGCAGGGAAGACCAUUCCUGGAUUUACCCUUCGAGGGAGCAGUAGAAGCGGAUCUGGCAUGAAGUGGGGGACACAACUCCCCUUAUGCUCCCAGCACAUCUCCUGGGCUGAGGCCAUCUCAGAUUGGAAGACCAGCUUUCCAAAGCAAGUCUCCUCCACAUCAUGAAGGAGAAAAAGGUGAAACAUUUGAUGUCCUGAUGGUAAUAGGAUCACAGGCUCUAAAACAUGAGGGAGGUGGGGCUGGACAAAGUCUUUAGGAGACUGCUGAAUUGUUGACUUUAUUCCAAGUCAGGAUCCCGAGUAAUCACUGAGCCUCAGUAUAAUUAUAUGCACAUGAGAAGCUAUUUAUUUCUUGCAUUCUGCUUAUCUUUGCCAAGAAAACACUCCUCCCCCAUGCCUUAAAAUGCCCAGAGACAUGGUUCUGGAUGAGCCACUUGGAGGGCUAAGGGCACCUGCUGGCUGAGGCCCAUGAGAACACACCAGCCCUGUGGGGAAAGUGUGGAGCUCAUGUACCCACUGCCCUUUCCCUGCUCAGAGCAGGGCAUCCCGACAGCAGCUAUGAAUGCACCUGCUCUGAGCAUCUCCCCGCCAGGCUCUGUGCACUCCAUCAGGGUCCUCUUCUGAGCCUGGCACUGCUCACCUGGGCAGAGAGUCCACUCAAGCCCCAGAGUCCUUGGCUUCAUUGGAAGUUCCUCCUGGGAGCAUCAACACAGCCCUUUCCCCCGUAUCCACUGGCUUUUGGGGAGCUGGGCCUGGGAAGCCCUUUUCUCUCCCUACGCUGUAUUCAUCCUGCCAGCCAAGCUGGAGCCUCUGCAUUUUUUAGUCCAAUUAUUGGCAGCUGUACAGGUUUCCCAGAACACCUGGCCCUCCUCACCCUCAUUCUGUGGCAUUAUUUAAUCAAACUGGCUAGGAGUAUUUAUAGCUCCCCUGAAAGGCAGCAGCCGCUCCAUUCCCGGGAAAGUGGAACAUUGAGACAUUAAAGAGUAUUUUCAAAAGAAAAAAAGUCCUCUCACAGACUCAUGAUGUUGCCAUCCCAAUGUGUCUUCCAAAAAUAGGCCUCCCGGACAGCUCCUCGGUGCCACCAGCUCUCUCCUCUGUGUACUUGCCACCUGCCAGGCUCAGAGUGAGAAAGCUACCUGCUACUGUUCCCAAAUGGUCAGUUCUAAUUCUCCAGCCCUCCUCCCAACCCAGAAAAUCCCAAUAUUCUUCCCUGGGUAGAUGUCCCUUUGAUUAAAAGAGAUGGAGCCAAGGGAAAUAACUAAAUCACAACUAAACAUUCCCUCUAGUGCAAGGAGUCAAUGAUUCUGGAUACUCUGCCACUCUGUUCUCCAUGGGAGCACCAAAGCCCAUCUUAAAUACAACCUCUUUCAUGCUUUAAGACUUAUGGAAGGAAGCCCAGGCCCAAUGAUUUGCUCAAAGUCCCAAAUGCUCUUUGGACUCAAGGCAUUCUGGUGGAGCAUCAGACAAAUGUGUGGCUCUUGGCCAAGAGCCAGGGAGCACAGAAAACUCUGAAGCUGGGGCAGGUGCAUGCUGGCUAGGCAGAAACAGUUACAGACCUUUGGAGAUGAAGAGCAACUGAGAAGGUAUGGUUGGAGAGCCU